AAAGGAAAGAAAACAGGUCAUGAAAACACAUAUUGAUAUCCUUAUAACAUAACCCAUAAAACAGUUAUCCCAACUUAGUGGAGGAUGUCCCUCCGUGAUCCUUAUACCUGUCGGAUCUGAUAUCCCGGACUUAUCUCUCGCCAGGUCGAUCGGGGGUGGCCACCCGCCGCGUCAAGAAGUGUCUCAAACGGGGCGGGUGUACAGCCCCAGAGCACCCCCGCGAGGCUCUAUGCUUGUGUCUAACUUGUCGUGGGUGUUUACGACAUAGGGUGUGACGAUCACCGGCUCCUGUGAGUCUGUCUGCUGAUCUGUAUAGGU